UCCCCGAUAGCUCAGUCGGUAGAGCAAGUGACUGUUAAUCACUGGGUCGUAGGUUCAAGUCCUACUCGGGGAGCCA
rnacentral:tRNA from 1 species